AGCUUAGAGCUUCAUUCUAGGUGAGACCUGCCCAGUGCUUUUGUUAACGGCCGCAGUAUCUUGACUGUGCUAAGGUAGCAAAAUAAGUUGGCUUUUAAAUGGAGUCGGGAAUGAAUGGAUUUAUGGGAUAAAGCUGUCUCACUUAUGCUUAAUUUAAUUUGCUUAGUAGGUGAAAAUGCCUAAUUUAAGAAAAAAGACGAGAAGACCCUAGGAGUUUUAACUAAACUAUAUUCUUUUUUAUAGUGCGUUUUUGUUGGGGCGACAUUGAAGUAAUCUUGCAAACCUUCAUUUUAACAUUUGCCGACUUUGUAUGUAAAUUUAAACUACCCUAGGGAUAACAGCGUAAUUUUUUAAAAGCUUGCGACCUCGAUGUUGGACUAGGAAUUUAAUAGGUUAGCCGCUUAUUUAUAUGGUUCUGUUCGAACUGUAUCUCCUACAU
rnacentral:rRNA from 1 species